rnacentral:misc_RNA from 1 species
UUGCUUUACACAUUAAAAUGACUACCCUACUUUAAUAUUGGGCCACCUACAAAUGUGUUUGUGUACAAACUUCACGCUCAAGCAUGAAGUAUCAAGGUAUGGUAUCAUAACAUGUCUAGCCCGGUUCAAUUCAAGUGUCAAGGUUUCUGGUAUUGCCACGAUAUCAAAAUUCAAGGUUUAAGAAGGAGAAUUUCAAGGUUCAAGUGUCAACAACAAUGGUUGCCACUUGAGAGGAAGGGUCG